AAUAACUUCAUUUUUUAGUUUUUUGAUACAAUGUUUUAACUAUUCGUCUUAUUGAAAUUUUUUUAUGAUUAAUAUUUUAAUUGUUACUAGAUGAUAAAAUAUAAAUAGUACUUUAUGUGUGACUAAUUUAUUUAAGUUUUUGUACAAUUUUUUUUUAAAUAAGACGGAUGGUCAAACGUUGGAUGCAGAAAAAC
rnacentral:pre_miRNA from 1 species